rnacentral:misc_RNA from 1 species
GAUGAAGAACGCAGCGAAAUGCGAUAAGUAAUGCGAAUUGCAGAAUUUCCGUGAGUCAUCGAAUCUUUGAACGCACAUUGCGCCCAUUGGUAUUCCGAUGGGCAUGCCUGUUCGAGCGUCAUUUCAACCCUCAAGCUCUGCUUGGUGUUGGGGCCCUACGGUUGACGUAGGCCCUUAAAGGUAGUGGCGGACCCUCUCGGAGCCUCCUUUGCGUAGUAACUAACGUCUCGCAUUGGGAUUCGGAGGGACUCUUGCCGUAAAACCCCCAAAUUUUCUAAUGGUUGACCUCGGAUCAGGUAGGAAUACCCGCUGAACUUAAGCAUAUCAAUAAGCGGAGGA